rnacentral:rRNA from 1 species
UGUAUAAUGGGUCAGCGACUUAUAUUCUGUAGCAAGGUUAACCGAAUAGGGGAGCCGAAGGGAAACCGAGUCUUAACUGGGCGUUAAGUUGCAGGGUAUAGACCCGAAACCCGGUGAUCUAGCCAUGGGCAGGUUGAAGGUUGGGUAACACUAACUGGAGGACCGAACCGACUAAUGUUGAAAAAUUAGCGGAUGACUUGUGGCUGGGGGUGAAAGGCCAAUCAAACCGGGAGAUAGCUGGUUCUCCCCGAAAGCUAUUUAGGUAGCGCCUCGUGAAUUCAUCUCCGGGGGUAGAGCACUGUUUCGGCAAGGGGGUCAUCCCGACUUACCAACCCGAUGCAAACUGCGAAUACCGGAGAAUGUUAUCACGGGAGACACACGGCGGGUGCUAACGUCCGUCGUGAAGAGGGAAACAACCCAGACCGCCAGCUAAGGUCCCAAAGUCAUGGUUAAGUGGGAAACGAUGUGGGAAGGCCCAGACAGCCAGGAUGUUGGCUUAGAAGCAGCCAUCAUUUAAAGAAAGCGUAAUAGCUCACUGGUCGAGUCGGCCUGCGCGGAAGAUGUAACGGGGCUAAACCAUGCACCGAAGCUGCGGCAGCGACACUAUGUGUUGUUGGGUAGGGGAGCGUUCUGUAAGCCUGUGAAGGUGGCCUGUGAGGGUUGCUGGAGGUAUCAGAAGUGCGAAUGCUGACAUAAGUAACGAUAAAGCGGGUGAAAAGCCCGCUCGCCGGAAGACCAAGGGUUCCUGUCCAACGUUAAUCGGGGCAGGGUGAGUCGAC